AUUGAACGCUGGCGGCAUGCCUAACACAUGCAAGUCGAACGGUAACGGGCCUUUGGGUGCUGACGAGUGGGGAACGGGGGAGUAAUACACCUGGACGUGCCCGAUCGAGUGGGAUAACAAGGCGGAAGCUUUGCUAAUAUCGCACACGAGCUACGGAUGAAAGCGUGGGACCGCUAGGGCUUGCGCGGUCUCAGCUGCGGAUGGCAGACUCGGUAGUUGGUGUGGUAAAAGCGUACCAAGCCGACGAGCUCUAGCUGGUCUGAGAGGAUGAACAGACACACUGUGACUGAGACACGGCCCAGACUCCUACGGGAGGCAGCAGUGGGGAAUUUUGGACAAUGGGCGAAAGCCUGAUCCAGCCAUGCCGCGUGCAUGAUGAAGGUCUUCGGGUUGUAAAGUGCUUUUGUUCGGAAGGAAAAGCCUUAUUUUAAUACAGGGUUGUCUUGACGGUACCGUAAGAAUAAGCACCGGCUAACUACGUG
rnacentral:rRNA from 1 species